rnacentral:lncRNA from 1 species
GUGUGUGGAUGAUCCGGACUUCAUCGAUUCUGAGAUCGAUUUGGGGUCUGAUUGAGGCGACAAUGAAUAUGACAGAAAUGUGACCGAUAAGAUAGAAAUGGGAAUGGUUGGCCGUGAAGAUCAAGUGCAUAUGGAGACUUAGCCUCAGAUUGUUUAUAAUAUAUUUUUCUCACUCUUCUUUUUAAUCGCACAUUCUCCAAUAAAAUAAUAUUACAC